UGUUCUAUAGCUUAGUUUGUUAAAGCGCCGGGCUAGUGAAUACGGAGUUGUGGGUUCUAAUCCCACCACAACGC
rnacentral:tRNA from 1 species